rnacentral:sRNA from 1 species
AGAGAAUCCGAGUUCAUAAAAGACGCAGAUGAAGAGAAAGCUUCCUUGCAGAAAUCCAUCAGUAUAACUAGUGCCUUACUCACAGAAAAGGAUGCCGAGCUGGAGAAACUGAGAAAUGAGGUCACAGUGCUCAGGGGAGAAAACGCCUCUGCCAAGUCCUUGCAUUCAGUUGUUCAGACUCUAGAGUCUGAUAAGGUGAAGCUUGAGCUCAAGGUAAAGAACUUGGAGCUUCAACUCAAAGAAAACAAGAGGCAGCUCAGCAGCUCCUCAGGUAAUAUGGACACUCAGGCAGACGAGGAUGAAAGAGCCCAGGAGAGUCAGUAAUAGUGGACCUUCAAAGGAAGAAUCAAGACCUCAAGAUGAAGGUGGAGAUGAUGUCAGAAGCAGCCCUGAAUGGGAACGGGGAUGACCUAAACAAUUAUGACAGUGAUGAUCAGGAGAAACAGUCCAAGAAGAAACCUCGCCUCUUCUGUGACAUUUGUGACUGCUUUGAUCUCCACGACACAGAGGAUUGUCCUACCCAGGCACAGAUGUCAGAGGACCCUCCCCAUUCCACACACCAUGGCAGUCGGGGUGAGGAACGCCCAUACUGUGAAAUCUGUGAGAUGUUUGGACACUGGGCCACCAACUGCAAUGACGACGAAACCUUCUGAUGAAGCCUAAAGUGGAGAACUGGGCUUUCUCAGAUGCACUCGCAUUGACACAACGUAACACCAGCAUUGUCUGUGCAGACUUCAGGAGAACUCAUGUUAUUUUUUACCCCGUCAACAAAUCUAGGAAAAUAUUUUGAUCUUCAACAAAUCGCCCUUUAGUCUCCCCUUAUGAGUUAGAAUAAUAAAUAUUUAGUAGGUGAGUUUUCACCUCGAAUUUUGUUUUCUUGAUUUUUAAGUUUGAAGACAUUGCACCAGAUGCCAUUACAUUUAUUGUC